AGCGGCGGACGGGUGAGUAACGCGUGGGUAACCUGCCCUAUACACAUGGAUAACAUACUGAAAAGUUUACUAAUACAUGAUAAUAUAUAUUUGCGGCAUCGCAGAUAUAUCAAAGUGUUAGCGGUAUAGGAUGGACCCGCGUCUGAUUAGCUAGUUGGUGAGAUAACUGCCCACCAAGGCGACAAUCAGUAGCCGACCUGAGAGGGUGAUCGGCCACAUUGGAACUGAGACACGGUCCAAACUCCUACGGGAGGCAGCAGUGGGGAAUAUUGCACAAUGGGCGAAAGCCUGAUGCAGCAACGCCGCGUGAACGAUGAAGGUCUUCGGAUCGUAAAGUUCUGUUGCAGGGGAAGAUAAUGACGGUACCCUGUGAGGAAGCCCCGGCUAACUACGUGCCAGCAGCCGCGGUAAUACGUAGGGGGCUAGCGUUAUCCGGAUUUACUGGGCGUAAAGGGUGCGUAGGUGGUCCUUCAGGUCGGUGGUUAAAGGCUACGGCUCAACCGUAGUAAGCCGCCGAAACUGGAGGACUUGAGUGCAGGAGAGGAAAGUGGAAUUCCCAGUGUAGCGGUGAAAUGCGUAGAUAUUGGGAGGAACACCAGUAGCGAAGGCGGCUUUCUGGACUGCA
rnacentral:rRNA from 1 species